rnacentral:rRNA from 1 species
GCACAGUUUAUACCGUAGCUUGCUACACCAUAGACUGUGAGUUGCGAACGGGUGAGUAACGCGUAGGUAACCUGCCUGGUAGCGGGGGAUAACUAUUGGAAACGAUAGCUAAUACCGCAUAAUAUUAAUUAUUGCAUGAUAAUUAAUUGAAAGGUGCAAUUGCACCACUACCAGAUGGACCUGCGUUGUAUUAGCUAGUAGGUGAGGUAACGGCUCACCUAGGCGACGAUACAUAGCCGACCUGAGAGGGUGAUCGGCCACACUGGGACUGAGACACGGCCCAGACUCCUACGGGAGGCAGCAGUAGGGAAUCUUCGGCAAUGGACGAAAGUCUGACCGAGCAGCGCCGCGUGAGUGAAGAAGGUUUUCGGAUCGUAAAGCUCUGUUGUAAGAGAAGAACGGGUGUGAGAGUGGAAAGUUCACACUGUGACGGUAUCUUACCAGAAAGGGACGGCUAACUACGUGCCAGCAGCCGCGGUAAUACGUAGGUCCCGAGCGUUGUCCGGAUUUAUUGGGCGUAAAGCGAGCGCAGGCGGUUAGAUAAGUCUGAAGUUAAAGGCUGUGGCUUAACCAUAGUACGCUUUGGAAACUGUUUAACUUGAGUGCAGAAGGGGAGAGUGGAAUUCCAUGUGUAGCGGUGAAAUGCGUAGAUAUAUGGAGGAACACCGGUGGCGAAAGCGGCUCUCUGGUCUG